UAGAGAGAGACAUGCGCGCAUAUCAAUAAGCGGAGGAAAAGAAACUAACAAGGAUUCCCUAGUAACGGCGAGUGAAGCGGGAAGAGCUCAAAUUUGAAAUCUUCAAGGUUUUACCUUGACGAAUUGUAGUUUAGAGAAGUGUUUUCUGUUGGAGUUUUGGUAAAAGUUCUUUGGAAUAGGACAUCAUAGAGGGUGAGAAUCCCGUAUUUGACCAUUAUUUUCAGCUUUGUGAUACACUUUCAAAGAGUCGGAUUGUUUGGGAAUGCAGUCCAAAAUGGGUGGUAAAUUUCAUCUAAAGCUAAAUAUUGGCGAGAGACCGAUAGCGAACAAGUACCGUGAGGGAAAGAUGAAAAGAACUUUGAAAAGAGAGUUAAACAGUACGUGAAAUUGUCAAAAGGGAAGCGUUUGACACCAGUGUUGUUUUCUCGAAAAUCAAUUAAAAAAGGCAGGAUUUUGUGUUGUAUUGACUUUAUCAGCUUUCUGCACUCUUUUCUUGUCUUUUUUUAAUGCACUUUUCGUUUAACAAGUCAACAUCAAUUUCUUUUGUUGUAAAAGGGUCAUUGGAAGGUGGCUUUCUCUUCGGAGAAAGUGUUUAUAGCCUUUGGCCUCUGCAAUCGGAGAGAUUGAGGUCUGCAGCGUAGAUCCUUCGGGGUUAGAUACAUUUGUGCUAAGUUAUAGCCUUUUCAUAGACAACUUGUUGACUAUGAUUCAGUCAUGUAGCUUACUCGCUUAUGCUAUUUUACCUACGCUUAGGAUGUUGAGUCGUAGAGCACGCAG
rnacentral:rRNA from 1 species